CACGUAGGCGGCUUUCUAAGUCAGGGGUGAAAUCCUGGAGCUCAACUCCAGAACUGCCUUUGAUACUGGAAGGCUUGAGUCCGGGAGAGGUGAGUGGAACUGCGAGUGUAGAGGUGAAAUUCGUAGAUAUUCGCAAGAACACCAGUGGCGAAGGCGGCUCACUGGCCCGGUACUGACGCUGAGGUGCGAAAGCGUGGGAGCAAACAGGAUUAGAUACCCUGGUAGUCCACGCCGUAAACGAUGGAUGCUAGCCGUUGGCGGGUUUACCCGUCAGUGGCGCAGCUAACGCAUUAAGCAUCCCGCCUGGGGAGUACGGUCGCAAGAAUUAAA
rnacentral:rRNA from 1 species